rnacentral:rRNA from 1 species
CGGGAGAAAGGGGGCAGUUUACUGCUCUCGCUAUUAGAUGAGCCUAAGUCGGAUUAGCUAGAUGGUGGGGUAAAGGCCUACCAUGGCGACGAUCUGUAGCUGGUCUGAGAGGAUGAUCAGCCACACCGGGACUGAGACACGGCCCGGACUCCUACGGGAGGCAGCAGUGGGGAAUAUUGGACAAUGGGGGGAACCCUGAUCCAGCCAUGCCGCGUGUGUGAAGAAGGCCUUUUGGUUGUAAAGCACUUUAAGCAGUGAAGAAGACCUAACGGUUAAUACCCGUUAGCGAUGACAUUAGCUGCAGAAUAAGCACCGGCUAACUCUGUGCCAGCAGCCGCGGUAAUACAGAGGGUGCAAGCGUUAAUCGGAAUUACUGGGCGUAAAGCGAGCGUAGGUGGCUUGAUAAGUCAGAUGUGAAAUCCCCGGGCUUAACCUGGGAACUGCAUCUGAUACUGUUAAGCUAGAGUAGGUGAGAGGGAAGUAGAAUUCCAGGUGUAGCGGUGAAAUGCGUAGAGAUCUGGAGGAAUACCGAUGGCGAAGGCAGCUUCCUGGCAUCAUACUGACACUGAGGCUCGAAAGCGUGGGUAGCAAACAGGAUUAGAUACCCUGGUAGUCCACGCCGUAAACGAUGUCUACUAGUCGUUGGGUCCCUUGAGGACUUAGUGACGCAGCUAACGCAAUAAGUAGACCGCCUGGGGAGUACGGCCGCAAGGUUAAAACUCAAAUGAAUUGACGGGGGCCCGCACAAGCGGUGGAGCAUGUGGUUUAAUUCGAUGCAACGCGAAGAACCUUACCUGGUCUUGACAUACACAGAAUCUUGUAGAGAUACGAGAGUGCCUUCGGGAAUUGUGAUACAGGUGCUGCAUGGC